rnacentral:rRNA from 1 species
CUUAGGGAGGAGCUUGCGUCACAUUAGUUAGUUGGUGGGGUAAAGGCCUACCAAGACUAUGAUGUGUAGCCGGGCUGAGAGGUUGAACGGCCACAUUGGGACUGAGACACGGCCCAAACUCCUACGGGAGGCAGCAGUAGGGAAUUUUCGGCAAUGGAGGAAACUCUGACCGAGCAACGCCGCGUGAACGAUGAAGUAUUUCGGUACGUAAAGUUCUUUUAUUAGGGAAGAAUAAAUGAUGGAAAAAUCAUUCUGACGGUACCUAAUGAAUAAGCCCCGGCUAACUAUGUGCCAGCAGCCGCGGUAAUACAUAGGGGGCAAGCGUUAUCCGGAAUUAUUGGGCGUAAAGGGUGCGUAGGCUGUUAAAUAAGUUUAUGGUCUAAGUGCAAUGCUCAACAUUGUGAUGCUAUAAAAACUGUUUAGCUAGAGUAAGAUAGAGGCAAGUGGAAUUCCAUGUGUAGUGGUAAAAUGCGUAAAUAUAUGGAGGAACACCAGUAGCGAAGGCGGCUUGCUGGGUCUUUACUGACGCUGAGGCACGAAAGCGUGGGGAGCAAACAGGAUUAGAUACCCUGGUAGUCCACGCCGUAAACGAUGAGUACUAAACGUUGGGUAAAACCAGUGUUGAAGUUAACACAUUAAGUACUCCGCCUGAGUAGUACGUACGCAAGUAUGAAACUUAAAGGAAUUGACGGGACUCCGCACAAGCGGUGGAUCAUGUUGUUUAAUUCGAAGGUACCCGAAAAACCUCACCAGGUCUUGACAUGCUUCUGCAAAGCUGUAGAAACACAGUGGAGGUUAUCAGUUGCACAGGUGGUGCAUGGUUGUCGUCAGCUCGUGUCGUGAGAUGUUGGGUUAAGUCCCGCAACGAGCGCAACCCUUAUUGUUAGUUGCCAGCACGUAAUGGNGGGGNACUUUAGCA